rnacentral:misc_RNA from 1 species
AAAGUCGUAACAAGGUAACCGUAGGUGAACCUGCGGUUGGAUCAUUACAAAAAAAUGAUUGGUUGUGUUAUUUCGGUGACCUCCAGCCUAAUCAAAACACCAUGUGAACUGUUUACCGUCUUUGGCAAGUGAUGCCUGCUUUGGAUAGGAAAAAUGUUUUAUUCAUUGUCAGGUAGAGUUUCCCUUCACACUCAAGUAGUGCGUUGUUUGGAGAGCUUGCCACUUUUUUUAAACACUAUCAAUUAUCACGCCUGAAAUACAACAAAAUAAAUUUAAGAAACAACUUUUGGCAACGGAUUUCUUGGCUCUC